rnacentral:rRNA from 1 species
ACGAACGCUGGCGGCGUGGAUUAGGCAUGCAAGUCGAACGAGGAUAUAUCCUUCGGGAUAUAAGCCGAGUGGCGCAAGGGUGAGUAAUGCAUAGAUUACCUGCCUCUAGGAUAAGGACAACUUUGUGAAAACGAAGCUAAUACUUAAUAAUACAAAAGAAAAUAAUUUUCUUUUGUCAAUGGGAGGGUAGCAAUACCUUUUGCCUAGAGAGGGGUUUAUGUCCUAUCAGCUUGUUGGUGGGGUAAUGGCCUACCAAGGCGAAGACGGGUAGCCGGUCUUAGAGGAUGGUCGGCCACACUGGGACUGAGACACUGCCCAGACUUCUACGGAAGGCUGCAGUCGAGAAUCUUUCGCAAUGCCCGAAAGGGUGACGAAGCGACGCCGCGUGAGUGAGGAAGGCCUUCGGGUUGUAAAGCUCUGUCAGGAGUUAAGAAAUAUAAGUGUGCUAAUACCACAUUUAUUUGACGAAGGCUCCAAAGGAAGCCACGGCUAACUCUGUGCCAGCAGCCGCGGUAAUACAGAGGUGGCAAGCGUUGUUCGGAAUUAUUGGGCGUAAAGAGCACGUAGGUGGGUUUGUAAGUCAGAUGUGAAAGCCUUCUGUUCAACGGAAGAAUUGCAUCUGAAACUGCGAGUCUUGAGUGUAGGAGGGGAGAAUGGAACUUCUGGUGGAGCGGUGAAAUGCGUAGAUAUCAGAAGGAACGCCGGCGGCGAAAGCGAUUCUCUGGCCUAUUACUGACACUCAGUGUGCGAAAGCUAGGGGAGCAAACGGGAUUAGAUACCCCGGUAGUCCUAGCCGUAAACGAUGGGCACUAAGUAGAGGGAAUUACCGAUGUUCUCUCUGCCGUAGCUAACGCAUUAAGUGCCCCGCCUGGGGAGUACGGCCGCAAGGCUAAAACUCAAAAGAAUUGACGGGGGCUCGCACAAGCGGUGGAGCAUGUGGUUUAAUUCGACGCAACGCGAAGAACCUUACCUGAACUUGACAUGCACGGGACCGCUCUAGAAAUAGAGUUUCUCUUCGGAGCCCGUGUGCAGGUGCUGCAUGGCUGUCGUCAGCUCGUGUCGUGAGAUGUUGGGUUAAGUCCCGCAACGAGCGCAACCCCUACCUUUAGUUGCCAUCGGGUCAUGCCGGGGACUCUAGAGGGACUGCCGGUGAUAAACCGGAGGAAGGUGGGGAUGACGUCAAGUCCUCAUGGCCUUUAUGUCCAGGGCUACACACGUGCUACAAUGGCAGGUACAAAGGGUUGCAAAGCCGCAAGGUGGAGCUAAUCUCAAAAAGCCUGUCUCAGUUCGGAUUGGAGUCUGCAACUCGACUCCAUGAAGUUGGAAUCGCUAGUAAUCGUGGAUCAGCUUGCCACGGUGAAUACGUUCCCGGGCCUUGUACACACCGC